UGGACCGGUACCGUGCAUAUACUUUGGUCCUUUUUAUUUGUUAUGCAUUUGCGUGGUAUUUUAAUCUUGUGUGGUCCUCUGUUCUUGCUCCAAAUAAUUAUGUUUGGCUUGUUAUAACAGCAGGUCUUUAUGGUUCAGCAUUAUUGCCAGUACUUCCUAUCGGAGUCGCUCUUGCAGCAG
rnacentral:ribozyme from 1 species